AACUUUGUACUAGCUCUAUUAUAAAGUUGUAUUAAGAUUGAAACGGAGGGAGUAUUUGAUUUCUCUUCAAUGGUAAAAUAAUUUGGAAGUUACAUGGCGUACGUAUUAUUGGGUAAUUGAUGUCUGAAAUUAAAUCUCAAAAAAAGAAACGCCCUUUUUCUUGGAGUAUUUGAGACAGUACAAGAAUCUAAAAACAUCUACAACUGGACUGAAUAAAUUUGACCUCUUCAACGUUUGCGGACGGACCUUGUGAGCAUCUAGGCAUGUUCAUUUUGAGUCUCUACUUUUCCGUUCAUGUAACCAUGUUUUUCAUUUUUUUAUAUAUGUCCAAUCACAUGCGUGUGAUUGAUGAAGAAGGAAAAGAAGAGAAAAAAGAAAUAAUAAAGAAAGAAAGAAUAUGCUCUAUGAUGGACCCAAUCACUUACCGGACACGUCUAGAUAUUCCUCGUACUCAUCUCAUAUAUGACAUGAAUAUGAGGGCCGUUGGACAACUAAGGUAUUUAAGAAGGCUUUGAGAGGUCCGGUGGGGUCAGUUUUUACCUCCCCUCUCGUGUUCGGCCAGUGGUUUCCGCGCAUGUUUGGCCAAUAUGAAGGGUCCAGUUGUAGAUGAUCUAAAAGUGAACAAAAUUAUAAGUUAGCCCUUGCAUUUUACUCGAAUGUACAUAAGAAGUCUCAAAUCACGCAUCACGAAACAAUAUCGCAAUUCAAUCAUGACAACAAUGACUAUAUCACUAAGCUCCUCUAGGAUUGAGGAAUUCUCAUUCAACUGAGGGCAUUUGUUUGGAUUGGAUUCCCGAUUAUUUGGUCAACAAUUUCUGAAAGAGCUUUCUUAUUCAAGUGAGGUAUUCAAUUUUGAAUUUAGUUCACCAUUUUGCUGGUCAAUGAUUUCUCAAAUCAAUCGGCACCAACCAGUUUACAAAAAUACACCAGUCUCACACAACCUUUCAUCACAUAAAAAAUGUCAACAUGCAACAUUGUAGCAUCAAUAUAAUAUAUGCGUUCACCACUACAUGAAACUUCUAUCCAGACACCUUGAUUAAUUUGCAGAUAACAAAUAUUUAUACCCAUAAAGAGCC
rnacentral:lncRNA from 1 species